UACAGAGGGUGCGAGCGUUAAUCGGAAUUACUGGGCGUAAAGCGCACGUAGUCGGCUUUGCAAGUCGGUUGUGAAAUCCCCGGGCUCAACCUGGGAACUGCAUCCGAGACUGCAUUGCUAGAGUAUGGGAGAGGAAAGCGGAAUUUCUGGUGUAGCAGUGAAAUGCGUAGAUAUCAGAAGGAACAUCAGUGGCGAAGGCGGCUUGCUGGACCAAUACUGACGAUCAGGUGCGAAAGCGUGGGGAGCAAACAGG
rnacentral:rRNA from 1 species